rnacentral:rRNA from 1 species
GAUGAACGCUGGCGGCGUGCCUAAUACAUGCAAGUCGAGCGAACAGACGAGGAGCUUGCUCCUCUGACGUUAGCGGCGGACGGGUGAGUAACACGUGGAUAACCUACCUAUAAGACUGGGAUAACUUCGGAAAACCGGAGCUAAUACCGGAUAAUAUAUUGAACCGCAUGGUUCAAUAGUGAAAGACGGUUUUGCUGUCACUUAUAGAUGGAUCCGCGCCGCAUUAGCUAGUUGGUAAGGUAACGGCUUACCAAGGCAACGAUGCGUAGCCGACCUGUGAGGGUGAUCGGCCACACUGGAACUGAGACACGGUCCAGACUCCUACGGGAGGCAGCAGUAGGGAAUCUUCCGCAAUGGGCGAAAGCCUGACGGAGCAACGCCGCGUGAGUGAUGAAGGUCUUCGGAUCGUAAAACUCUGUUAUUAGGGAAGAACAAAUGUGUAAGUAACUAUGCACGUCUUGACGGUACCUAAUCAGAAAGCCACGGCUAACUACGUG